GGGAAAUANAUCCCCCUCAGUGA
rnacentral:tRNA from 1 species